rnacentral:lncRNA from 1 species
GUUGAGAUGACAUUUCCAUGUCUGAACUUUACUCUGCAAUCCAGUCCCUGUCUACUAAACAAGACGCCACGCUCUCCAAAGUGUCCAUCAUAGAGCGCGCUACCGAAGAAACGUCAAAGAUCGAUAAUUUGUCAGAAACUAAGUCAGCUACACACAAUUGUGAGCGAGAACAAGGAAAAGUUGACGUUCCUAGAUAAUGAGUUGAAUAAACUGCAAUCCCAAAAUAAUGAGCUGUGUGAGAAUGUAGCUGAACUUCAUAAGGUACUCUCGUAGGUGGAAUCUGAAAAUCCAAGGUGUAAAAGAGGGAGAGGAUAUUAGGGAAGCAGUCAUUAAUAUCCUGGGAAAGGUGGCUCCGGGCAUCAAAGACAAGCUGAGACGUGAUCGACGUGGUACAUCGACUUUGGAAACGAAGAUCUGAUGGACCCCCUCGCAAUAUCAUUUUGCGCUUAACUAUGCGCCAUUACAGGGACAUCAUUUGGAAAAUGGGCAAGGGGAACAUGUUUCUGGACGAGAAGAAGCACCGCAUCAAAGCAGCUCUGAUACGGCAGGAUCAGACUGCCAGGGAGAAACUGUGGCCGCUUAUACAGAAGGCUCGACAAGAGGGAAAGAAGGCUGGGUUCAAGGGCCCACACGCGUUUAUCGAAGGAAGAAUGAUUACUGGGUAACACUGUUGACAUUAACCAAACUGGAACUGAGUUCGUUUUCAACUCACUCAAUAUCGUUAGUCUGAAUGCUAGGAGUUUGAGAGAUCUUACAAAAAGGAAAGCCUUAUUGUUAUAUUGUAAACGCAGUAAUGCAGAUUUUGUCCUUCAGGAAACUCAUUCGGGUGAAAGUGAUUUGACAUUUUGGAAAUCACAAUGGGGAGACAGCCUAUUUCAGUCAUGGAUCAAACCAUUCUGUUGGUCUUUUGACACUUAUUCACAAGUUUAAAGGUGACAUUCUAGAAUCCACAUCUUCACAAGAUGGGAGAUGGGUCAUAGUAACUGUUAAACUUGACAAUGC